GAGGUAAUACUUUAAAUUAGAAGGCCUGGUUUGCAGCCAGAUAGUGGCUUUGCUUUACUUCA
rnacentral:tRNA from 1 species